AUGAGAUCAGCCGAAAAAAUCCAACCGACUAUCUGUCGCGUAGCCUCCGAUUUUAACCCAUGGGUAGAGACGGUGGUACGCGCUUGCUGUAGAACCUUCCAGUCAUGUGGUUCCUGUUUCCCCUGGCCAUUCUGCUGUAUCAUGGGGAAUGCCACUGCCGCGGGACCCUCGGCCCCUCCGACAGGUUUCCGUUGUCCCUCUGUGAUGGCAUCUUUAAUGAUGCCGUUCCAACGUGUGGGGCUGCGUGGCGCACAAGGAUUCAAUAAACAUGGAGGAGUGUCUUUCCUCCUUUCUUCUUCUUUCAGCUCCAACUUUUCCAGGCGUUUCAACACUGUUUGCAAAAUCUUUGCAGUGGCGUCUGGGGACAGCGGCGGCUUCCUCCCGGCGACCGGAGUGGUGUCACCAGAAGAUUCGCUGGAGGAGGGCAGCGGGGGAUACAGUGAUGGUGGCGCGGCGGCCGACGGGAGAGGAGGAGCCGAGGGGGGGGGUCGACACCCUUCCCCGCCCAAGUCUCCGAGAUCAGCGGGAGGCGCGGUUUCCGCCCCUUUCGGGGCCUCCUCCGGGCACCCUUCCGCUUUCGCCUCAGAGCUCCUAUCAUCGGCCUCUCUCGUGACAACUUCUGCCUUUUCAGGCGCCUGCGCAGGCUCCGGCAACGCGGUCUUCUCCUUGCUCAGGGGCGUGAGGCCCCCUUUCACGCGCAGCUCAUUAACGCUUUUGCAGAUAGUCCCAGUCACACCCUUCACCGCAGGCAGUCCCAAGAACCGUGAGCCAAGCCCAGUUUUCUUGCGGGGCUUAUCGGUAGGGGCCCCCGGUCCCAGCAUUUGCGCGGCGGCACAGGCCACUUCCCUUUCAGCCUUCAUUGCUGUUAAAGUCUCUAGCACAGUGUUCCAAAGCGCACGAACGGCUUUUAUCUCCUUUUCCUCCUUUUCGUCCCCUUCAAUUAACUUUUGCCACAUGGUCCCCCCAAAGUCUCGCCAUUCCGAUAAGGAAAACAGUAAAUGGGUGUCGGAAAAGUGA
rnacentral:lncRNA from 1 species